AAAAAAAAAAAAAAAAAAACUACCAAGAAAUAGUUUGUGGGGAGCAUACUAAUGACAACAAAAAUAAAAAUUUGAAAGUUGUCGAUGAGCUCUUUGGACAAGGUGAGGAAGGUUGGUGGGAAGGGUGAGAGAAGCGGCACAUAGGUUCUCAUUAAUGGGUAAAAUGAGAAGUGUAAGUUGCAGAGAUAUAUGGAGAGGGAAUAGGCAGAUAAAGUUAAAACUAAAGUGGUACAAGAAGCUACAAAUAAGAGGAGUAAGUUACUUUACUUAAUUCUGUGUGGGGAGAUAAAAGAUGAAAAUACGAAGGAAAACAUAAUAUUAUGUAAUUAGAGUGAAAAGAAUGCAUACAAUCUCUGUAGGCCUUUUAACUUGUGCUUCACUUGGGUUAAUUGGCUUUGAUUAUGCACUUGCCUCGGUUUUUCCGUUUGAUUGGCCCACAAGUACGCUUUUUUUAGUCACUCUUUUAUUUUUGUAAACUUCUUUCUCGACUUAUUUUAUGAGAUUUCCCUAUUUUUACUACCUCUAAUUGCUUAUAUCCCUAUCUUGUUUCCCAUUAUUGCUUUAUUUUUGUUUCUUUAUGUUUUAUCACUGGGACUGUAAGUAUAAUUUUGAGACCAAGUAGGGAGGAUAUCAAAUCAAAUCAAGUGAACCUUACUUUAUGCUUCACUAAAAAAUAUAAUUAUUUUGCAUACAUGUGGUUGAUUGGUAUGGUUUGAGCAAUUUAAAAUUGUCACAUGUUGCCCGAUGUUCAAAGCCACGCACAAAAACACAUCAAGGAUGGUCUUGGAUGUGAGCAAGGGCUAACGGGCAAGGUUUUAAAUCGUGGUCGCGGGUAAUGGAAAUAGACCUGUAACGGUCGUAACGUAACCGUAACGGUGGUAACGUAACGAUCGUAACGUAACGGUAAUGGUCUGACGCUAUAUAAAUUUAUUUGAAAAAUAUGCAAGGUUUAUGAAAUGAGUAGAUAUUGGUAGA
rnacentral:misc_RNA from 1 species